rnacentral:tRNA from 1 species
GCCCGGAUGGCGGAAUCGGUAGACGCGCUGGUCUCAAACACCAGUAGGUUCACCCCUGUGCCGGUUCGACCCCGGCUCCGGGUACAA